UUAAGGGAACUGAAGGUCACCCUGGACUGGGGGCAUUUAGACGGAAGCAUGAACAAGCCCUUAACGGGAUAAUGGUUGGCUCCUUAAAAAUGAACCAAGUCUACACGGACUACGGGAAUCUUGCAGGGUCAUCCAAAUCCCCAUGAGAGAGGCAGGAAGCUUGUUUUAAUUAGGGUGGGACUUUCUGUCAGACACAUCUCUGGAUCUGAUCUCACUGCAGGGUUCUCUCUCUCUCUCUCUCUCUCUCUCUCCCUCUCUCUCUGUGUGUGUGUUCACUUACACAGAUCCACACACAUCCCCAGCCUUUCCGUGUAUGGGGCAAAUCACAGAUGCCCUUUUCUCCCAGAGUUGGUUUGUUCACUAUUUAUUUUCACACGGAGGAAUCUGUCAACCAAACUUCAGGCUCAGAGCCUUGGCCUAUCAGGAGCUGUCCCUGAGAUAUCAACGGCGUUAGAACAGGACCUUGGGCCUUUCUCUUGCAGAGGGCUGGAAGAAGCCAGACACCAUCUUGUGAGGCCCUGCCAUCCUGGAUGGGUGUGUUCUAUGAAGGCCCCACUUCCGUCUGUCCCUAGGAGCCUGCUGGCCAUGGUGACUGGGGCACCGAGCUGAAAGCACUGGGAUUGUACCAGUGUUCUACUAGGGCUUGUCCAGUGCUCAGCUUUGGGACUCCGGUGAGCUACUGAAUCACUCCCUAGUGGUGUGCACACACGUCUCCAGACAUGAAGGCACACAUGUGUGCACCUCUCCCUUUCCUACAUACACAACUGCAGGUACCAUGGCAGUGUCUGUCUAGUUCUGGCCUUGCUUUUAAAAACAAGGAAGCCAAAGGCCCUGGGGAGUCAGAGAAGUCCUGAGAAUCAGAGACACAGUCUGGAUGGGAAGUCAGCUCUCUGGUCCCUGCACACACCCCAUUCCCACUCAGCAAUUCGCCUGGAGGUGUGCCAGCUCUCUGGUGUGCCCGGAUGCCCUCCUGUCCCUGCACCUGGGAUGGGACCUCUCUCAGCCCAGGCCUUCCUCUCCUCUUUUCUUCUCUGCUGUCCGCUCUUUCUAGUCCUGGCUUGGCACCAGGGAUGACUGUGUCCCUGGUGGUAGGGAUGGGGCUCCACCCGCUUUAGGCCUUUUUGGUCCCAGCCGCACUCCUCAAAGCAGCUGCAUUCCACCCCACCUUCAGAACCUCGGAGGAUCCCGCAGUCAGCUCUGCCCUCCUGGUGGACUUGCCCCCUCUGAGCCUGCCUGUUGGGGACCACAGGAGGAAGCUGACUUUGAAGGUCUUUCUUGGGUGUUCUCUUGAUGGAGGAGGAAGCCUCAACACAGAAUUUUAAAGCAAAACAAAUGGACCCUUAACAAGGCAAAAAUGUGUGUGGCGCAUCAUCUGGACUGAAGUAUGUGCACCCGUCAAGAGCAAUUUCUUUGAUGUGUUCGGGGAGGUGAACAUUCCUCUGGAGCUUUUCCCAUCAGAGUUUGGAAAAUCCAACACAUGUUUGGCCACUGUGCUCUUAGAAGUGUCUAUAACACUCGACUCAACGUAUCUCUAAGACCCGAAAGACAGCAUGCAACUUGAAUAAGCCCCUUGUCGUGGAAAUUAGUGCACUAAUUACUAAAAGUGCACCUACAGAGACAACUCCAAGAAAGGGGCGUCUCCAGCUUCCACCUGCUGUUGAGUCCACGUCCUCUUUCCCCUUACCCGUGAUUGACAGCUUCCCUUGGUGGCUGGGAUCCAUGAGUCCUUCUGUCUGCCAGGCCCAGUGUCCCCUCUCUUUGGGGACCUUUCCAUGUCCUCAUGCCCUAGGAUUCUUCUCUUGCUAUUACCUGUAGCCCAUGGCUUCUGCUUGCUGUUUGCCUCACAUAAGUUGUGAGGGUCCAGGGCACAGCGCCGAGCAGAAAUGGGCUGUCUGAGUGCACGGCUCCACCCUGGCGGCUCUGAGUUUUCACCUCAACCCCUUUAACCACUCACCAUUUCCCUUCAACAUCUUUCACUGAAAACUGUCCCGCUAUGCUCUUUCCCUUGGUGUGGCUUCUCGGGACCAAUUUUAUGGUAACUGAACUCAUAUUCAUUGCAGAAUAUUUGAAAGAUAAAAUGACAGUUUUAAAAUUAUAGAAAACGUUAUCGGAACACAAGCCCAGAUGCGGCAUCUAAUGUCUUGGCUGGCUUAUUCUGGAGCUUUCUGUGCUUUUAAACACCAUAGGGACCACAGUGCACAUUCACGAUUUCCCAAGCUUUUCUGUUUAUUGCUCUUUCUGAGAACACAUGGCUUUAUUUAUUAAUGGUGUGGUUCUCUUUCAUAAUUUCUUAAUUUAUUUUCUACAUAGCUUAUGAUUUCCUUCCUUUUUAUUUUUUUUAUA